CUAGUGAGGCAAGGCAGAGCGCCACGCAGGUGCGGUGCCAGGCGGGAAGACCUCCCCCAGAAGGCACCACGCCCACCCAGAGGAUGUCGGGAAGGAUGGCUUUGCUCCUGUAGACGCGACUGCUUCAUAGCUGACCUGCGACGGCUUUCCCCUGGGUACUGAGUCACAAGUGUACACCAUUUUGUUGUCUGUACCCAGCGUUUCUCAUGAUGUACUCUGCGCAAUGGCACAGGAGAAGCCGAAAGGAGCUACCCUAUGCCCAAGGUAUGGAGCAGCAGCUGCGCUUUGCUUGAGUAGCCGUGAAGAGAUACCCCAUGUCCAAGCUAAGAGAAGCCCAAAUAAGACAGUAGGCGCUGAAUCAGGGCAUCAGAGGGCAGACAGACGGAAACCACAAUCACAGACAACUAGCCAAUCUGAUCACACUGACCACAGCUUGUCUAACUCAAUGAAACUAAGCCAUGCCAUGUGGGGCCACCCAGGACGGAUGGGUCAUGGUGGAGAAGUCUGACAGAAUGUGGUCCACUGGAGAAGGGAAUGGCAAACCACUUCAGGAUCCUUGCCUUGAGAACCC
ensembl:lncRNA